GAUGAACGCUAGCGAUAGGCUUAACACAUGCAAGUCGAGGGGCAGCAUGGUCUUAGCUUGCUAAGACUGAUGGCGACCGGCGCACGGGUGCGUAACGCGUAUGCAACUUGCCUCACAGAGGGGGAUAACCCGUCGAAAGACGGACUAAUACCGCGUACACUUGGGAUAGGGCAUCCUGACCCAAGGAAAUGAAAUUCGCUGUGAGAUAGGCAUGCGUCCCAUUAGCUAGUUGGUGAGGUAACGGCUCACCAAGGCGACGAUGGGUAGGGGAACUGAGAGGUGGAACCCCCACACUGGUACUGGGACACGGACCAGACUCCUACGGGAGGCAGCAGUGAGGAAUAGUGGUCAAUGGGCGAGAGCCUGAACCAGCCAAGUCGCGUGAAGGAUGACUGUCUUAUGGAUUGUAAACUUCUUUUAUACGGGAAUAACAAGAGCCACGUGUGGCUCCCUGCAUGUACCGUAUGAAUAAGCAUCGGCUAACUCCGUG
rnacentral:rRNA from 1 species